AUUGAACGCUGGCGGCAGGCCUAACACAUGCAAGUCGAACGAGUGGCGGACGGGUGAGUAAUGUCUGGGAAACUGCCUGAUGGAGGGGGAUAACUACUGGAAACGGUAGCUAAUACCGCAUACCAUCGGAUGUGCCCAUAUGGGAUUAGCUUGUAGGUGGGGUAACGGCUCACCUAGGCGACGAUCCCUAGCUGGGCUGAGAGGAUGACCAGCCACACUGUAACUGAGACACGGUCCAGAAGCCUACGGGAGGCAGCAGUGGGGAAUAUUGCACAAUGGGCGCAAGCAUGAUGCAGCCAUGCAGCGUGUAUGAAGAAGGCCUUCGGGUUGUAAAGUACUUUCAGCGGGGAGGCGUUACUCGCAGAAGAAGCACCGGCUAACUCCGUGCCAGCAGCCGCGGUAAUUC
rnacentral:rRNA from 1 species